rnacentral:rRNA from 1 species
GAUGAACGCUGGCGGCGUGCCUAAUACAUGCAAGUCGAGCGAACAGACGAGGAGCUUGCUCCUCUGACGUUAGCGGCGGACGGGUGAGUAACACGUGGAUAACCUACCUAUAAGACUGGGAUAACUUCGGGAAACCGGAGCUAAUACCGGAUAAUAUAUUGAACCGCAUGGUUCAAUAGUGAAAGACGGUUUUGCUGUCACUUAUAGAUGGAUCCGCGCCGCAUUAGCUAGUUGGUAAGGUAACGGCUUACCAAGGCAACGAUGCGUAGCCGACCUGAGAGGGUGAUCGGCCACACUGGAACUGAGACACGGUCCAGACUCCUACGGGAGGCAGCAGUAGGGAAUCUUCCGCAAUGGGCGAAAGCUUGACGGAGCAACGCCGCGUGAGUGAUGAGGUCUUCGGAUCGUAAAACUCUGUUAUUAGGGAAGAACAAAUGUGUAAGUAACUAUGCACGUCUUGACGGUACCUAAUCAGAAAGCCACGGCUAACUACGUG